CCAGUAUGAAAAGGAUUUUUUUGUUAUGAACGUAUUGACCAGUUGUGUCUCUUUUCAGUGUUUUUGGUUUUGUUUACGUUUAUUGAAAAAACGCUACCACCUCAGCACCAUAUCAGCAUUUGGGUUAAUAAACAUUUUUUGGGUUUGAAAUUAUUGUUUGCUGCAAGUGUUUAUUGAGAAAACGCUGAUAAACAUUUUUUCAUUGAUUUCCGUGAAAGGAGUCAUUGGGAGAAGCAUCAAAUUCUUGCUUCCCCCAAUGGUUAGCCAUUUCACGAAACAUGAGUAUCAUGUGGCGCUGAUGUGUAAUCCGAUGUGGCGUGGAUAGUUUUUGAUCUGGUGCAUCGCUGAUCUACCAUCCCACAAGAAAAAAAUAAUUUUGUAACCCUAACCACAAAUUAGGGUAUCAAACUGAGGUAAGUGGACGCUGCAGACGAUCGAACUUACAAGGAGAUUUUUUUUUUUCUUUUCACGCAUUGACGUUGACUAGUGGACACUGCUCUAUAACCCAUCGGCAAGGUGAUUCAUACGCCGUUAAUCCCUUGCAAAUCAUUGCUAUUUCUUUUGCCCAUUUGAACAUAGUUCAGGGACUUCCAAAUGCAUGCUGUACUUCAUGAAUGAUUGGCAAUUUCCAAGUUUCAACCAUCUUGGAUUUGGUUGCAUCUCAUUUCCACGGAUCAUUUAUGUGCCCUGUUUUUGGUCAAUAUCAUUUAUGUACCCUUCUUCUCUUUUCUUUUUUUUUUCUUUUCCAACUAGUGGGGACCCGUGCAAAUCUGAA